UUGAAAGGGAAACGAUUGAAGUCAGUCGUACCUGUGGGUAAUCAGCCUUUUGGGUGUGAUUUUGUGGAGUGUGAGGAGUUAAACGCCUUCAUGCCUGCAUAUUCGUGCACUUUGGGUGUAUUUACCCGUGUGGUAAGUUAACAUCAAUUUCGGUGGUCAUAAAAUGGCUGGAGGAAUGUAGCUUCGAUCUUGUAUUGAAGUGUUAUAGCCUUCGGUAGAUGUGAUGAUCGGGAUUGAGGAUUGCAACGGAUNCCCUUCGGGGCUACCUGUCUGAUCUCUGAUCGUUGCUCUGGUGCCGAAAGCUUGCUUACGGUUAUCAAAGUCGAUGGUCAAUAGGUUAGAACGGGUUAAAUUCGUUAAGGAUGUUGACGUA
rnacentral:rRNA from 1 species